rnacentral:snoRNA from 1 species
AGACCAUGAUGAGUACACUUUUAGAGCAGAUCUUUGUAUCUUUCCCAUGCUUCAUAUAGCAACUCAUUAUUGAAUUGAUUGAAGGUGGUGAUGUCAUUCCUUAGCUU